rnacentral:rRNA from 1 species
GACGAAGGAUGCAAGCGUUAUCCGGAUUCAUUGGGUUUAAAGGGAGCGUAGGUGGAUUUGUAAGUCAGUGGUGAAAGCCGGCAGCUUAACUGUCGAACUGCCAUUGAUACUGCAGAUCUUGAGUAUGGUUGCUGUGGGCGGAAUAUGACAUGUAGAGGUGAAAUUCAUGGAGAUGUCAUAGAACACCGAUUGCGAAGGCAGCUCACAAAACCAUUACUGACACUGAGGCUCGAAAGUGCGGGGAUCAAACAGGAUUAGAUACCCUGGUAGUCCGCACUGUAAACGAUGAUUACUCGCUGCUAGGAGGUAACUUUUAGUGGCUAAGCGAAAGCGAUAAGUAAUCCACCUGGGGAGUACGCCGGCAACGGUGAA